UGCUUCUUUUCCCCUUCACGAAUUCGUAUCAUAUAUCCAAUCUCAAUCCUCCUCCGAACCCUCAAUUCCACAACCUGACACCGCUUCGGGAUCACCCGACUUCCUCUAACCACCCGCGCGCUCUACUCCUUUAUAGAAAUCACCUCUUACUCCUCGGAACCCUUGGAACAAUCUCGAAAGUUUAACAUUGAUUUGAGUGGGCCCAGGGUUUUGUUGUGUGCUGAUGCUAUGAUUAAUUUAAUUUUGAAGUCGGAGGUGAAUCAGUACAUGGAGUUCAAGAGCAUUGACGGGAGUUUUUUCUACGACGGUGAGGGCAAUUUGGAGAAUGUACCUGAUUCACGUAGCGCAAUAUUCAAGGACCGGAAACUAAGCUUUACUGAGAAGACUCAGUUGAUGGAAUUCUUCAAGCUGGUGCAAGGGCAUUUUGAAGCAGCAGCCGCUGCUUAUGGUGGGGAGAGGAAGAGCAUUUCAGAGGAGGAUUUAGAGAGUCCGUUUGUGGAGUUUUUAAGCAAAAUGGGGCUUUCUUCUAAGCUAAAAUCGUACAGAUCGAAUCGCCUCUCUCUUAGUCAUAGUUUCCUGUUUUCUGUUAUUCCUUUUUCUUUUCCUGUCGUUGUCGUUUGAUUAUGUCGUAUGCUUAUUUCAUGAAUCAAAUAGUCCUAAUCAAAUAUUAAGGAUUAUUGAAUGUGUGAUUUCUGUAUGAUUGUGAUGUUGCAGCCUAAUAAAUUAGGAAGCUUUUCAUUUUAGAUUGAAAGCAUGCGAUACUUUUCUAAAACUACUUCAGUAAACAAAUUAAACUGUGAGGAUAUUGCUUGUACUGCUGUUUUGCCUUUCAACAUAUGGAGAAGAAAAUGGUUAAUUAAUAUAUAAAUGACACUGCUUUUCGAUCUUUAUCACCUUUUAGCAUUUCAAUUCAAUGAACGUAAGACUGUUAGUUCCCACUUUCCUUUUUAUGGUUGUUUAUCCAGAAUUUGGGAAUCAGAGUAAUUUUUUUUUGUACAUUAGAUUCUAGCUAUAUUCGUCUGACUUAGUAGUGAUCUUUUCUUUUUAGGAUUAUUCUAUAUGAAAUAGCAAUGGCAGAUUAUGACCAAGAGAAUAGGGAUGUUUGCAAAAGUGUUCUUAAGACAAAAGAUGGUAUUGAUUGGUUGGCCCUUUAUCACUCAUCCAUUGGCAGGUUAUACUCUCACCCUUCCUUUGUACUUAAAACAGUCAUGUAGAAAUCAUAAAUACCUCUUCCAUUUUUGUACAUAAAACAGUAUAGUAGUGCACUAAUCCUGAAUGUACCUCGCCCAUUUGUACAUAAAUUGGUAGUUUACUAAUCAUGAAAGUAUCUUUCCAUUUACUGGCUGUUUAGCUUUAGCUUUACCUUCUUCUAUGUCCAUAAUUGAACUUCAUACUCCUAACUGUGGAAAUCCUGAAAAUGAUAUUAUUAGGCUAAUCUAUUUUUAUUGUCAAUUCUCAUCCCUGAUACUGAAAAUAAUAGUUCAUUAAGAUGCAUGCUUAGGUUAUACUUGCAUGUGCGGAUGAAAGAGGUCUAACCUUGGAAUACCCACUUAUCUGUUUUUUCAUGUCUGAGAUUCAAAAGUCAACCUGGAAAGCUCUAUGUAUAGUUGGGUUAGUCUUUUUGCCAAUGCAAAUACUCCCAAGAAUUAAUAAUUUUUUGGAACUGUUAGAAAAAGAGAAGGGGAUUCUAUCUUGAGACUAGUUAAUCAUAAUCAUUGACCCUCUGAGUUGGAAAGUUAUCUUUGUAUGCCAUGACAUCUUAUGGUCAUAUGCUUCCUUCUCGUCAGCCAAAUUCUUAUAGUUUUCCCUUUGUUUACAAACUUUAGGUUUCCUAAUGCACCUGGUGCUAUGAUUUACCCCAUUUAUGGUCAAGGGGAACUUCCACAGGCCUUUUGUCGUGGUGCUGCAGUAAAAGGAUGCAUUUAUGUAAGUCUUUUAACAUGUGUUUUCCUUGGACAACUCCAGUGUAUUAUCACUUAGUUUUGCAAUUUUGUUCCACCGAGAUUCUUUACCCUUUUUUCCCUUGUGUUGUUGAUUGCAAUGCAUGGCGGAGAGCAGACAAUGUCCAAAUAUGCAUUAUGUUUCUGAUCAUUUUUGUGUUUUGGUUUUAUAAUUAUCUUACGCCCUGCCAUCCUCCUAAAAAUAGAGAAAAGUUCGUGUUUUGUGAAAAUUCCAUCAUAAGGUUCCACUAGGGAAGUGAUAGAGGUGCAUAACUUAGGACCAAAGAGAUCUCCUAGAGAUCGCAAAUUUGCAGUUGGAGACUUAUCAGAUCUCCCAGCAUGUAACUUGGGGAGCUUAGCUCUAGCCAGGAAGUGUAUUAAACAACUUUGCAGCUAGUUGUGGCCUUGAUUUCUUAUUCCUCACAAUGCUAGCUAUACAUUUGUGAUGAGCCCCUACUGCUUCACAGUUAGAAAUGUUGAUGAGCUUGCUUGUAGUACUGAAAGAAGCUUUUUUCAAGCAUUCAGGAGCAUUGACACUGUUGUUUACGUCCUGAAGGAUUACUGUUUUCUCAAACUCAAUUAAUCUUUAAUUUGAACAACUGCUGAAUGAGCUUAACUUUAAUUUUUUGGUAAGUUGAAUGACCUCAGCUUUUUACGUUUCAUUUGACAUCAAAUAGAAGAUAUCAUCUUGAUUGGUUUCUCUUCUGUUACCUUUUCUCGUGUAGUCGGAAAGUAAUCUCUUUGUCUUGAUUUCUUCAUCAUUGCUUAUACUAUACAUUGUAUUGGUAAUUUGCAAAUGAAGUUCUUAUUGUGCUAAACAUCAUAUUCAAAGUUUUUUAUGGUGUCCUUUCCUCAAUAUUCAUUAUUUGAUGUUUAAUUUCCUGGAAUUCCUUGAAUUGUUAUGUCAUUAGUAGUCUUCCCUGAGGCUAAUUUCUAUCUUUACUUCGACUUUGUUUCCAGGUUCUUCGGAUGCCUGUUAAUUCUCUCCUCAUGGACAAGGUUCGUAGUGAUUCUCUUCUUGUUUCUUAAUGACUUUUAACCGUCCUCAUUUGGUAGAAUUGAACCUUUUUGAAGUGCAUGAGUUGUUGACCUGUCACCUUGAUGAUUUCACAGGCUACUGGGAAUUACAAGGGUGUUCGCUUGGCUUCGGAACAAGAAUUGUACAGCCAUAAGCUGAUAUUAGCUUCAUCUUUUGUGUUUCAAUUACCACCACCUCAUUCUUCACCUGGUGCUCAGCAAAAUGUUUAUUGUGAUUUUGGCUCAAAAAAUACAACUGAGAAGCUGGCUAGGAGUGUAUGCAUCACAAAGCACUCUUUGAAAUUGGAUAAAGCCAAUUGUCUGGCAUUUUUUCCUCCU
rnacentral:lncRNA from 1 species